CGGGGCCCCGGGGAGGAGCAGGGGCAGGGGCAGGGGCGGGUUGGGGGCCCCGCCUCUGCCCGCGCCCCCUCCCGGCGCGCCGCGCCCAGACCCCCGCGCCAGGGAAACUGAGGCCGCGGGGUCGGUGACCGCCCAAGGGCACGCGGCCUGAGGCCUUGGAGACCUGCUCAGGCCUCGUUCCAGAAAGGGAAACUGAGGCCCGCGAGGCGGAAGGACACGUCCAAGGUCACUGAGCCCAGCCCCGGGGACCAGAGCCUCCUCCGCGCUCCACCUUCGCAAGGGAUCUUCCCCGCGCGCAGGGUUCACCCGCCUGGAGGCCACAGCCAGGCGCAGGGAAGCGAGACCGCCCCCGUGCCAGCCUCCUUCCUUUCUAGAUCACUCUCCCCGGUGGAUGGGGCGGGACAGCCAAACCUGAUGACCCCCAGCACCUCUGUCCUACUUCGUUCCAGCUCUGUCUUCUGCUGCUGGGCAAGACCCCCAAUCCCUCCCUUGCUGCCAACCGGUGUGAGACCUUGGGGUGCUCUGGGUGGGGUGUCCCAAGGAGAGGAUGCACAGCCCCCUCUGUGGGCCCAGAGAUGCCCGUGGGGUACUUCCAAAGAGCACCGGCAACGUGCCGUUUCGUCUAAUGGACACCCCAGCCCUCUGCCCUUCUGCCCUCCCAGAUUGGGACCCCGAGACACCGGUUCCUGAGCCUCCUAGCACUUGCCAAAUAUGAACCCAUGGACUCUUGAGACUUGGCUGCUGUCACUUCUUCACCCCACUCUGGGGAAACUGAGGCAGGCUCCAGCAGGCUGUUAACAAGAACGCCCCCCAGCGGCACAGAGCGCACACUGCCGUGCUCAUUAAAUGCUUACAGAUGGAGGGAUGAAUACUUAAGUACUUACAAAGAAAGCUUACAAAGCUGCUCGUGAGUGGUCCCAAUUUGGCUAAUUACACGUCCACGUGAGGGGCAUCUGUGAGGGGAGGGUCUUUUGGGCUAGGAGGACCAGAGAGGGCUGCUAAGGAGGCCGAGCCUCGCUCGCCUCGCCACAGCACCCCCCACGCUCCAGGAAGCCCCGCUCCUGCCCCAGGCUCUGCCGGCCAGAAGCUCCCGUACGUCCCGUCUGGACCCAGUGCAGAGCGCAGCAGGAAGCAGAUGGACAGGGCCCUGGCCUCCCAGGGGACACAGAGCCCCAGCAACCCAGUGCGCACGUGUGCCUUCUGACUUCGGGCGACGAGGGAGGCUGCACCUGAGCCCCGGCAGCUUCCCCAGCGAGGGGCCAGCUCGUCAUCACCUCCUCCCCCGCCACAGCCCAGCCACGACACGGGUGCCCAGCCAGUGUUGCUUCGUGAUCUCCACAAAGUGUGAGUGGUGGGUGCCCCCAAGGAACCCCAGGGUGCAGGGAGGUUGGGCCAGCUGUGUCCAGGGCCAGGCUGGUGCAGCCCCAAGAGCCCUCUGUAGAGGGGCUCCGCUGGCCCCUAGAGCCUGCUCCAUGGCAAGUGCGUAGCGCCCUCUGGUGACGGCCAGGGGGAAGGCCGGGUCCGCAGCUCCCCCAGCCCAGCGGGUUCAGCUCUUCCCGGUGUGACCUGGGGGUGGGAGGGGGCUGUAUCACGGACACCCGUUCUGCCCACAGAAGCCCAGGGAAUACUUGCAGCUGACAGUGUGGCCGCCAGAGCUCAGCGGGGGUGGGGGCACCCCGGUCAGCUCCAUUUCAGAGCCUGGAGUCUCAAACUGGCAGUUCGCGGGCCAGGCUUGACCUCGCGGGCGUCGUUACGCUGGAGUUUUUGCCCACAUUGAAAAUUAAGAAUUUCACAUGCAAGCCCCAAUUUCUGGCUGCUACGGAGACUUGGGAAUAGCUGGCUCAGGGCUCCUUGGCCUCUGGUUCCUCCUGACCCCAGAGGGGAGGUAUGGGAUGACCACACUCCCUAGGAGUGGCUGCGGGGUCACUCCUCCUCUGUACCAAGCAGGAGGCCUAGAUGGCACGGGCCAGAGCCCCCAGGUUUGGCGAGGACGAAGCUCAUGAGGCCCUACCUCCUGUGAUGUGCUCCCAUGGUGUGUUCCCCAGACCCUCAGCCCCACCCAUGUUUGUUGCAGUUGUCAGGCUGGGCUGUGCAAACAGGGACUCCCUUUCUCCUGGGGGCCGGCUCAGAAGGGCCACCUCCCUACCACAACACUGCCCUUCGGGGCUUUCUAGGCCUCAGUGGCCCCUCUUCAGCUGGACAAAGUCCCAAGGGGCUGGCUCCACUACGGACACCUGCCGGGAUCCAUCAUGAGGGCCUGCCCCACCCCCCACCCCCUCACCCCCCACUCAAACCACAGGGAGCUUCCUGCCCAGGGCAGGUGGGUGCCAGGCAGCUGUGGGUGGGGGUUGUCUGUUCUGUCCUGGGGGGCCCAUGGGAAGGAUUCCCAGGUGCCCCUGUCCAGUCCUCUUUGACGGCAAGAAACAAACUCAGAGGGAAGGGCUGCUGUGUGGAGGGAACCAGCUGGUGAGCCCCCCCCCCCAUUCCCAGACCUGCCACAGGCCUGGCCCCUCUGCCCCCCCCCCCCAUCUGCACCCCCCCCAACCCCUGCCCUGGUUCUCCUGCUGAGACCCUGGGCCGGCGCACACAGGAGCCUGGAAAGACGGACACGGGUCAGCCUUUAUUGGUGAGCAGGCAGGUGGCGGGCAGGUCAGGACGCAGCUCUGGCGGGAUGGCCACCACACCACUCCUCCACAGCCAGGCGGGGAUGUCGGGGGCCCCACCUGCCUCGAGCUGUCCCCACACACAACACAGACUGGAGGCGACCCGGCAGCACAGACCUCAGACAGACAGGCAGGCACAAUAUGCUCCCACCGCACAACCCGUGACUUUCUGCAAAGGGCCCCAACGAGGCCCAGCAGCCUCAGGAGGUAGAGCCCCACAAGAAGGCCAGUCUGCCCUUCAUGACCCCCAAGAUGGGGUGGGAUGCCGAGGGGAUGGGCUGGGGGGACGGGAGGGACAGGUGUCUGCGUGUGUGUCGGGGGGGGGAGGACAGCGAGGGGACAAGUGGGCAGCGAGGGGAUGGGCAGAGGGCACCAGUAAUCUCACAGGAAGCUCAUGGCUUCCUCAAGGCGCUCACAAAAUAUUUAAAAAGGAAAACUAAAAC